CCUACGGGAGGCAGCAGUGAGGAAUAUUGGUCAAUGGACGAGAGUCUGAACCAGCCAAGUAGCGUGAAGGAUGACUGCCCUAUGGGUUGUAAACUUCUUUUAUAUGGGAAUAAAACGUUCCACGUGUGGGAUUUUGUAUGUACCAUAUGAAUAAGGAUCGGCUAACUCCGGGCCAGCAGCCGCGGUAAGACGGAUGAUCCGAGCGUUAGCCGGCUUUAUUGGGUUUAAAGGGAGCGUAGGUGGAUUGUUAAGUAAGUUGUGAAAGUUUGCGGCUCAACCGUAAAAUUGCUGUUGAAAAUGGCAGUCUUGAGUACAGUAGAGGUGGGCGGAAUUCGUGGUGUAGCGGUGAAAUGCUUUGAUAUCACGAAGAACUCCGAUUGCGAAGGCAGUUCACUGGACUGCAACUGACACUGAGGCUCGAAAGUGUGGGUAUCAAACAGGAUUAGAUACCCUUGUAGUC
rnacentral:rRNA from 1 species